CGCGUAGGCGGCUUUAUAAGUCUGGAGUGAAAGUCCUCUUUUCAAGGGAGGAAUUGCUUUGGAAACUAUAGAGCUUGAGUGCAGGAGAGGUUAUCGGAAUUCCCGGUGUAGCGGUGAAAUGCGUAGAUAUCGGGAGGAACAUCGGUGGCGAAGGCGGGUAACUGGACUGCAACUGACGCUGAGGCGCGAAAGUGUGGGGAGCAAACA
rnacentral:rRNA from 1 species